AUCCAACGCUGGCUUUUCCUAAUACAUGCAAGUCGAACGAACUUCCGUUAAUUGAUUAUGACGUACUUGUACUGAUUGAGAUUUUAACACGAAGUGAGUGGCGAACGGGUGAGUAACACGUGGGUAACCUGCCCAGAAGUAGGGGAUAACACCUGGAAACAGAUGCUAAUACCGUAUAACAGAGAAAACCGCAUGGUUUUCUUUUAAAAGAUGGCUCUGCUAUCACUUCUGGAUGGACCCGCGGCGUAUUAGCUAGUUGGUGAGGUAAAGGCUCACCAAGGCAGUGAUACGUAGCCGACCUGAGAGGGUAAUCGGCCACAUUGGGACUGAGACACGGCCCAGACUCCUACGGGAGGCAGCAGUAGGGAACUUUUACAAUGGACGCAAGUCUGAUGCA
rnacentral:rRNA from 1 species